UUUUAAAAAAUUCAUCUCUUUGUAUUGUUAAAAACUGGUGUAGUUGAUAGAAUAACCAGACAGUGAAGCGUGACAUGCCAUAUGUACCCUCUACUGACAUAUAAAGACUAAUUUUUAACAGUAAAAAUGGAUAAAAAAUUAAUA
rfam:Gossypium arboreum cultivar AKA8401 contig_22975_1, whole genome shotgun sequence.